ensembl:antisense Gm15601 predicted gene 15601
GAUACUCAUUUUGGUUUUGCAGCGAGUCUGGUCAUGCCUGGAAAUCUGCUGACCAUAGUACUUGAGUCGGUAACUUUUUGAAAGUGACACUGGUUUCACUGGUCUCCGUGUGCCCAAAGAUUUCAGGAUUCUGCUCGUCAGACAUACACUGCAGUUGUGAGUUCUCUUUGGGCUGGUGCUCAGGCGGCUUCACAAGCGGGUCCGAGGAAGAACAGGAGCUUGUCGGUUGACUGCAGAACAGGAAGGUCUGGAGGCGAAAGUUGCAUACCUGGGCACACUGGAGUUCCAGCCGGAGGCUCCUUAUCUGUAACCGUCGAAUGGCGAAAAGUUAUCUUUUAUACCUCUGGCAAAUGGCCACUCCAAAAAGGUCAGCCAAAACUUGAUAAGCUGGGUGCCUUCCACCAACACCUGGUCCCACCAAGGAAGAGUGGAGAGCCUGCCUUAGGUACUGAACUAUUUAGGACUCAGGUUGAGCAUGUUGCCAAAUUCAUGAAAUAGACUUCCUGAGUAGAGGACAGAGAAGGCUGCCAGGUCUUUGAUCACUCCUUUUCUAUUCCCACCGUGAUGGAGAUACCACAGGCUCUAAAUGGAACUGCGGACACGGAAGCCUUCACAGAAUCAAGAAACCAUGAUGCCACCUUGUAGUCUAUGCAGAGUGUACUGGACUUAGGGCUGUUAGUGCUGUGACGCCUUUUGGUUAAAACGCUACAUUAGGCUCCUCUGGAGACCUGGACUGUGAUGGCUGCCUUCAUGCAGUUCUCCUAAGCCCACCACACUUCUACUCUGGUGAUUUUUUGCAGGGCUCUGCCAGACAGAAUCAAAACGACAGAAACAUAAAUAACUCCUUUAGAACUGAACAUGUGGUUUUUUUCUCUUUUAAAAAUAAAAUAAAGUGCUUUUAAAUUAAAAUAGUUCUUGCCCUUAACAAAACUGGAACCUUGAAGUCUCUGCAUCUUGACACAUGUUUAACAGAAAAGCUUUGGGCAUUCACGUCCUUCAAGAGUUCAGAGUGAACCUAGGCUGGGCUUGGCCUCGGUAUCAUGCUCGUGUUUGUACAUGAAUGUUAAAAGAAAAAGAGCGACAUCCAAGGAUGACCAAUAGGCAGUGUGCGACGUGACGGCUGACCAAUAGCGGCUCUCCACAAGGCCUUCUCUGAGUUCAAAGUCGAUCCUGUGUUCCAGUUCCACUGUAAAGACAAGAGGUAAGUGUUGGUUACCACGUGUUUAAUGCAGGCCGGAGACAGUGGAGAAGAGUCUAGCCAAGGGAAGUGACUUAGGCUGCCACAUUCUUCACUCUAAGUUUUUGGGGCAGUAGGAAAGCCAAAGUAGCCAGAUCUACUCUGCAGCCUGUCCCUUAGUGCACGUCAGCAAAGAAUAAUAAAGAAAGAAAAUCAAAUAAAUUUGCUUGCUAUCUUGGUAUAUUUUCGGAGUUUAAAAAAAGGAGGCUCAAUUUAAGUCUUAGAUGACUAUUUCUUAUCUGCCUUCCUUGAAGAAUUUCCUAUAUUCCUGGGGAAGUGGGUAUAUGUCUCCUCAGUUAGGGAGGCCCUACAGAAUACAUGAGGAUAUAUAUGUUUCACAACAACCAAAUUUUAUUAUUAUUACUAUUAUUAUUACUUCGCAGCUCAACAGCGUUCUUCUCCCCAUAAGGCUGAAUCCCUUAAAAACACCCCCUCCCCAAGUUUGUAUUUAUUAAGUGGGCACUAGCCUGUGCCCGGGACAUUGAAGAACUCAAAAGAAUUCACUGUGUAGCUGGAAAAGUUACCCUGGGGGAAGAGCUGUGGGGGAAAGGGCUUUACCUAUAAUUUGCUGCCCUCAACAAUCGUGUGAAUCCACUAAAGCCUUUCCAAAACCUAUAAAAAGUCCUUGCAACAUUGGAGAGAAUGAACAGCUUGAGGCUCUGUCAAAUCUCAACGGGUAAAUGUAACAGACCCUCAGAAACAACACCCUUGGGAAAGGACGGUCUGAGGGCCAGGUGGGAUGGCAGAGGCCUAGGGACCUAACUUUGAUUCCUGGAACCCAUAUAAAGGUUGAGUGAGAGAACUAACUCUACAAGGUUGUCCUCUACAUAUGGAGUUUACUUGCAUACACAAGUACAGUACAUAAUCUUUUUAAAGUGGCAUUACGCUUCUCAGGGUCUCUUUUAAAACUGUCCAUGAGCCAUGAUAUUAUUCCACAAGACCUAUCUCAUGUCACUACUAGACACUGAUAUCUGUUUGAUCACUGUCAAUCAAAGAUGUCUAAAGUAAAAAGUGGCAGUUAUACAUAAUAGCACUACUCUAGAAAAUAAUUUUAAAUAAAUGCAGUGUUAAUGCUAAUUAUAUACAGGGCUUGCUUUGUGGUAGUAGCAUCUGAGAGUCUGAAAUAUAAACACAGAGUAGUUACCUCUGGGCUCUGCCUGUCUGGUUUGUGAAGGUGUCUAUGUAUCUGCUUAGGGAAGGCACACAGAAGAUAGACUGUCAAGGCUAUGGAACAUUUGGAUAGAACACUGACACAGCACCUUUUGCAAAGUUCUUCUAACUCUAAAGUUUUCACUGAAUCAAAAUAAUCCAUAGUAAGUCAGACAUGCUGAGAUCCAUGUGCAUUUAGGUGGAAUGCCUUAACCCCUUAUUUUUGUACACCAUGGGCCUUCACAUGAGAUCUGUAGGCACAGUCACCCACAAAGACCAGACUAUGUAGAUGAGAAAACUGAAGUCUCAAAGAUGAUGAAGUAGAGUCAAGAUGAAGCAGGGUACAGGAAAGAGAAGAGGCAGGCACAUGACGAGAGGAUUCACUUUCCAACGCUGCCUGCGGCAUCUACUGCUCUAGUCCAGACUCUCCAGCACAAACUGCUCGAAAGUCAAAGACACACUUUCUUGUUACAAGAUUUAUCUGGCUCCACUUUGACUUUAAGGUCCUGAAAUUUGUUGUUAACAAGCGAUUACUGUCCUAAAUGACUGCUGUUAUCAUGGAGCUAUCUACUCUAUUCUGUGCUCUUGUCAUGCCUGUCACCUCUGGGGACACUAGCUGCUACCUAGACUGGCUCCACCUGUGCUAGGGUAGCCAGCUUUCCCCAGCCAACGUCCUCUGGGCCCUCAGUGCAGCCGCCUCACGUCUUGCUGGCUCUAAAGAAAGGAAGGAAGAAAGGGAGGGAGGAAGGAAGGAAGGAAGGUCAGCGGUGAGUGGAGUGGGCUUGUGUCCCAUCCUCUCUCCACGUGGCUCACAGGAUCUCUACGGGAGAGGUUUACACGGCAGCACCACUGGGUUCGGCUGUACAACAUGCCCAUGGUCAAAGCAGGCUCUGAUGCACGUGUACCAGUUGUCCUGGCAUUAUCACACCCAGACUUGCUGGGACUGCAGAGGGAGAUGGACUCUCCUCCUCUCUCUAGCCCUCUGGGAUCAUGGGGGAAGGAGAAAAUAAAACCACCUUCCUUUCUUUCUCUGUGCUUCUGAUACCUAAAUGUAAAAUCUGUUAAAAAAACAAAACACAAAGCCCUUUGCUCCCGAGCAGCCGUGCCUUAACACAGAUGCACGCGUAUGCUCAGGCCGCACCGCAGCUCUGGGAGGCAGUCCUUCAGGGCUGUCUCUUGGUUGGACAGUGUAUCUCAUUGGCUAGGCCAGCCUGGCCAGAGCGGUGCAGGGAUUCAGUCCCACAUCUCCACCCCAAUGACAUUACAGCUGUGUACUGCAGUGCCCAGCUUUUUAAAAAGUAAGCUUUGAGGUUUGAACUCAGGCUCUCUCAUAAACAUUUUACUGGCUAAGCUGUUUCUCUAGCUUAAUACGAGUUAUUUUAGUGGAAUUGUUUGUCUAUGACUACCAGUUGGAGAGAUCCUUACAUAAGAUAAGUUCUUGAGGGGAACUCACUGAGAUUGGUUACUAUAAACUCUGCUCUGGAGGCACAAAAGGAGCCAGCUUGUUAUCCUCAACCACUGUUUCGGAACUAUACAAAGCAAUCUUUUUUGAUAACUGAAAAAGAUGCACAAAAAUUUAAAGGUGGGUAAAAUUACAAAGAAAACCCUGAACACACUUUUUAACACCAAAGAUAGAAUUCACUAUU